CUUAGGAGGGAAUUUUCCGUAAUAUUAUUCUACGGAUGAUUUACCCGUAUUUUGAAGAACGCAAUGCAUUGUGGGAGAGACUGUCUUCAGAGGGAACGCAGCCGCCGCUUGCUCGCUCUCUGCUGUCUGAGUGAGUUGGAGUACUGCACUUCUGUGCUAUCAGAGCGGUCAAGAUUACCAGCCAACUUGUGAUGUCUUAAUAGGCUAGGAUCUACAUCUCGUAAAUCGUCCACAAUCCGUUUGGCCGCCCAAGCUGCUAGCUAAGUUAGCUCAGCAAGGCUCAUGUUGGUAACUGAACAGACG